GACAGAGGAUGCAAGCGUUAUCCGGAAUGAUUGGCGUAAAGCGUCUGUAGGUGGCUUUUUAAGUCCGCCGUCAAAUCCCAGGGCUCAACCCUGGACAGGCGGUGGAAACUACCAAGCUGGAGUACGGUGAGGGGCAGAGGGAAUUUCCGGUGGAGCGGUGGAAAGUGCGUAGAGAUCGGAAAGACACCAACGGCGAAGGCACUCUGCUGG
rnacentral:rRNA from 1 species